AACGAACGCUGGCGGCGUGCCUUAUGCAUGCAAGUCGAACGAUCCUUCCCGCAAGGGAAGGGUAGUGGCAAACGGGUGAGUAAUACGUAGGUAACCUGUCCCUAAGCGGGGGAUAACUCCGGGAAACUGGGGCUAAUACCGCAUGUGGUUAUUUAUCGCAAGGUUAAUAACUAAAGUCGUAAGACUCUUGGGGAGGGGCCUGCGUCUGAUUAGCUAGUUGGUGGGGUAAAGGCCUACCAAGGCGAUGAUCGGUAGCUGGUCUGAGAGGAUAUCAAGCCACACGGGGACUGAGACACGGCCCCGACUCCUACGGGAGGCGGCAGCAAGGAAUUUUGCGCAAUGGGCGAAAGCCUGACGCAGCGACGCCGCGUGUGGGAUGAACGCCUUCGGGUCGUAAACCACUUUUCUCAGGGAGGAAUAAAUGACAGUACCUGGGGAAUAAGUCACGGCUAACUACGUGCCAGCAGCCGCGGUAACAC
rnacentral:rRNA from 1 species